UACAGAGGUGGCAAGCGUUGUUCGGAAUUACUGGGCGUAAAGGGCGCGUAGGCGGUCUUCUAAGUCCUGUGUGAAAUCCCUCGGCUCAACUGAGGAACUGCACGGGAUACUGGAAGACUUGAGUUCGGGAGAGGGAAGCGGAAUUCCGGGUGUAGCGGUGAAAUGCGUAGAUAUCCGGAGGAACACCAGUGGCGAAGGCGGCUCACUGGCCCGGAACUGACGCUGAGACGCGAAAGCGUGGGGAGAAAACAGG
rnacentral:rRNA from 1 species